rnacentral:rRNA from 1 species
GACGAACGCUGGCGGCGUGCCUAACACAUGCAAGUCGAACGAGGUCCAUCCUUCGGGAGAAGACCUAGUGGCGAACGGGUGAGUAACACGUGAAGAACCUGCCCCGAAGACCGGGAUAACCCUCCGAAAGGAGAGCUAAUACCGGAUACCCCCACCGAACCGCAUGGUUUGGUGAGGAAAUGGAUUCCGCUUCGGGAGGGCUUCGCGGCCUAUCAGCUAGUUGGUGGGGUAACGCCCACAAGGCAUCGACGGGUAGCUGGUCUGAGAGGACGAUCAGCCACACUGGGACUGAGACACGGCCCAGACUCCUACGGGAGGCAGCAGUGGGGAAUCUUGCGCAAUGGGCGAAAGCCUGACGCAGCAACGCCGCGUGGGGGAUGAAGGCUCUCGGGUUGUAAACCCCUUUCAGCAGGGACGAAUCAAGACGGUACCUGCAGAAGAAGCCCCGGCUAACUACGUGCCAGCAG